ACUCAGGGAAAUAGCUCCCCAUAAUGCACUGUCUUAGGGAGGAACCCUGGUGAGAAACAUUGAUGAGUAGGGAAGGAAGAUUGAUUCUUCUGAGCCAGAUAAGGUGUGAUGCCGGUGAACUCCUCCCACCCCUCAGGACUCUCCCAGAGUUUCACUGACCAUUGAAGUCAGAUGCGUAAAAGCUUUGCUUCUCGGAGACCCACCGCUCAGGCGGAAAGGUACUGGCACAGCCUCUUCAGUUCCUGGUAGGGAGCGCCAGAGAUUAGCCCACACUGAAAGUGCCCUCUGGGGGGAAUGAUGGGAGGGUCCUUGUGUCCUGGACUGAACUACCCUAGGUCUCAUCUGACCUCACAUAGUGGAAACUACUCAGUGGAAAACUCCCUUAGCAGGAACAGGCUGACCACAGGCGGGAAACACCACUACAACAUAUCCAUCACAGCUGACAGAAGAAAGGAACAAUGUGGUGCCUGGAGCCCAUCCCGCCUGGAGACCAACAUCCCUGGACCCCCUCCUUACGGCCCAUUUUCCCUAUAUAACUGCCUCAAGAUUCUGUAAUCUUUGAAGAUGGGUCUUUGAGACGUUAGUCACCUGUCUUCUGAUUUGCCGGCUAAUCUAAUUAAACUUUACUUCUCGAUCUCUAA